CCUACGGGUGGCAGCAGUGGGGAAUCUUCCGCAAUGGGCGAAAGCCUGACGGAGCAACGCCGCGUGAUCGAAUGAAGGCCUUCGGGUUGUAAAGAUCUGUUGACAGGGACGAAUAAGCCAUGCGAAUAGUUUGGUGUAUGACGGUUCCUGUUUAGAAAGCUCCGGCUAACUACGUGCCAGCAGCCGCGGUAAUACGUAGGGAGCAAGCGUUUACCGGAAUUACUUGGCGUAAAGGGCGCGUAGGUGGGUGGUUAAGUCAGGUGUGAAAACUCUGGGCUCAACCUGGAGACUGCACUUGAAACUGGGUAUCUUGAGGGCGGGAGAGGAUAGUGGAAUUCCUGGUGUAGGGGUGAAAUGCGUAGAUAUUAGGAGGAACACCAGUGGCGAAGGCGACUUUCUGGACUGUACCUGACGCUGAGGCGCGAAAGCGUGGGUAGCGAACGGGAUUAGAUACCCGGGUAGUC
rnacentral:rRNA from 1 species